GAUGAACGCUGGCGGCGUGCCUAAUACAUGCCAGUCGAGCGAACAGACGAGGAGCUUGCUCCUCUGACGUUAGCGGCGGACGGGUGAGUAACACGUGGAUAACCUACCUAUAAGACUGGGAUAACUUCGGGAAACCGGAGCUAAUACCGGAUAAUAUAUUGAACCGCAUGGUUCAAUAGUGAAAGACGGUUUUGCUGUCACUUAUAGAUGGAUCCGCGCCGCAUUAGCUAGUUGGUAAGGUAACGGCUUACCAAGGCAACGAUGCGUAGCCGACCUGAGAGGGUGAUCGGCCACACUGGAACUGAGACACGGUCCAGACUCCUACGGGAGGCAGCAGUAGGGAAUCUUCCGCAAUGGGCGAAAGCCUGACGGAGCCACGCCGCGUGAGUGAUGAAGGUCUUCGGAUCGUAAAACUCUGUUAUUAGGGAAGAACAAAUGUGUAAGUAACUAUGCACGUCUUGACGGUACCUAAUCAGAAAGCCACGGCUAACUACGUG
rnacentral:rRNA from 1 species